rnacentral:rRNA from 1 species
GACAGAGGCCUCAAGCGUUAGGCGGAAUCACUGGGCUUAAAGCGUGUGUAGGCGGAUCGUUAAGUGUCUUGUGAAAUCCCACGGCUCACCCGUGGAACUGCUGGGCAUACUGGCGAUCUUGGGCCAACUAGGGGCAACUGGAACAAGCGGUGGAGCGGUGAAAUGCGUAGAUAUCACUUGGAACGCCAAUGGUGAAAACAGCUCGCUGGGGGUGUGCUGACGCUGAGACACGAAAGCCAGGGGAGCAAACGGG